rnacentral:rRNA from 1 species
GUAGGAGGCAAGCGUUAUCCGGAUUCACUGGGCGUAAAGCGCGUGCAGGUGGCGCGGUAAGUUGGGUGUGAAAUCUCCCGGCUCAACUGGGAGAGGUCAUUCAAUACUACCGUGCUUGAGAGCAGAAGAGGAAGAUGGAAUUCCCGGUGUAGUGGUGAAAUGCGUAGAUAUCGGGAGGAACACCAGUGGCGAAGGCGAUCUUCUGGUCUGUUUCUGACACUCAUACGCGACAGCUAGGGUAGUAAACGGGAUUAGAGACCCCGGUAAUCCUAGCCGUAAACGAUGUGAACUUGGCGUUGGUGGGUUAAACUCCAUCAGUGCUGCAGCAAACGCGAUAAGUUCACCGCCUGGGGACUACGGCCGCAAGGUUA